AUUGAACGCUGGCGGCAGGCCUAACACAUGCAAGUCGAGCGGGGUUUUCGGACCUAGCGGCGGACGGGUGAGUAAUGCGUAGGGAGCUACCCGAUAGAGGGGGAUACCAGUUGGAAACGACUGUUAAUACCGCAUAAUGUCUACGGACCAAAGUGUGGGACCUUCGGGCCACAUGCUAUCGGAUGUGCCUACGUGGGAUUAGCUAGUUGGUGAGGUAAUGGCUCACCAAGGCGACGGUCCCUUGCUGGUUUGAGAGGAUGGUCAGCCACACUGGAACUGAGACACGGUCCAGACUCCUACGGGAGGCAGCAGUGGGGAAUAUUGGACAAUGGGCGCAAGCCUGAUCCAGCCAUGCCGCGUGUGUGAAGAAGGCCUUCGGGUUGUAAAGCACUUUCAGUAAGGAGGAAGCGUUGAGUGUUAAUAGUACUCAGCGUUGACGUUACUUACAGAAGAAGCACCGGCUAACUCUGUGCCAGCCGCCGCAGUAAUAC
rnacentral:rRNA from 1 species